rnacentral:rRNA from 1 species
AUUGAACGCUGGCGGCAUGCCUUACACAUGCAAGUCGAACGGCAGCACGGGUGCUUGCACCUGGUGGCUAGUGGCGCACGGGUGAGUAAUACAUCGGAACAUGUCCUGUAGUGGGGGAUAGCCCGGCGAAAGCCGGAUUAAUACCGCAUACGAUCUACGGAUGAAAGCGGGGUACCUUCGGGCCUCGCGCUAUAGGGUUGGCCGAUGGCUGAUUAGCUAGUUGGUGGGGUAAAGGCCUACCAAGGCGACGAUCAGUAGAUGGUCUGAGAGGACGACCAGCCACACUGGGACUGAGACACGGCCCAGACUCCUACGGGAGGCAGCAGUGGGGAAUGUUGGACAAUGGGCGAAAGCCUGAUCCAGCAAUGCCGCGUGUGUGAAGAAGGCCUUCGGGUUGUAAAGCACUUUUGUCAGGAAAGAAAACCUUGGAUCUAAUACAGUCGGGGGAUGACGGUACCGGAAGAAUAAGCACCGGCUAACUACGUG